GUGGCUGAAAAAUUAAGCGAUAAAUUGUAAAUUUAUUAAUGGUAGUACCC
rnacentral:tRNA from 1 species